CUUUCAUUUUCCCAGUUAGGUGUUAUUUGUUCCUGAAUAAAACAGCCUGAGAUUUUGGGCCUAGAGAAAAUAGCUGCUCAUCAGAAGUAUACCACAGAAGUAUGAACAGCAUAAAUGAACAGCAUUGGAAUGCCCAGACUGAGCAAAGAACAGGUGCCCUCCUUAAAGCAUCCCAACAGCAGAUGUGAACAAACCCCCAAAAACUGCAUCACAAAGUUGGCAGUUUCCCUUUCUUCCAUGCUGCAAAAAGACUUUCCUUCCUCAAGUAAGUAAAGUUUUUUGUUUACAGAUCCGGAAUUCAGAGUGCAUGGUGAAGAGAAGCCCUGAGAAGGAUAACAUCAUCGGAAGAAGUGAGGGCCUGACGUAAGACUUCGCCAUAACACCCACUGAAACCCUGAUCGUACAGUUUUGUUGUGAAUCUGAUUAUGUGUUUAUGUUGAUUAUUAUGUAACUCAAUCCCAGGACAGCAAAUUUUAUGUUUGUUUGUUUGUUUGUUUAUCCAUUUGACGACUCAUGACAAAGCUCUAGAUCACUUGAAUGACAAGUGUACAGCAUAAUUUAGCUGUGCCUUCAGCAAGGGGGGAUGUCACAACCCAAAGUUGUGAUUUUUGUUUUGUGUGUGCUUUGGCACUGCUAAAUUAUUUUCCUGACAAAUUUGUAGCUUUCUUUGCAGUGUACAUUUCUUUCUGCAUCUGAGAAAUGCUCGUUGCAAAGAAUUCCCGCCAUUUGUAUUAGAAUUCGAGCCACAUUAUUGGCUAGUUCUAAAUUAUGCACACGUGGCGGCUAGUGAUUGGCUUGCUAGCCGUAUAAAAAGCUUGAGUGGUUUCCGCCCAAGUUGGAGGACUCCACGAACACCAGGAGGAGGGAUCUUCACACUGUGUGAAGAUCUCUAAGCACUGCGGAGCCUACUGGACCCAGCGCAUUUCAAGCAGGCAACAGAGGUCUGAUCAGCCUCUAGCCUCUCCCCGUCGCCAUUCGCAAUCCUCGAUGUAUCCCUUUCCCUGCGCGCAAAAGGAUCCACGGAGCCUCAACCACUCCGUGGGAGAGACCCAAGCUUGUCGUAGUCCUCAAACGAGGAUUUAAUCAGAGCUGUGCCUGGAAAACUGUCCAGCCUACACCACGACCAUCUUCGGUGUAAGUAAACAAAUCUUUAAAUCAA